GUGUUUAUAUGACUCAAACUCCCCUUAAGAUAUGGCCUAUCCUUAAUUACAAAGUUAUCACCAACUUGUCUUUCAAUUUAUCGCAAAUUGGAUGCUUAUUUUUGUCUAGCUUGAAUCCAACAUUACCCAAAGCCUAACAAAAAAUGAAAUGAAAUGCUAACCCAACAUCCACAAAGCCAAUAAGAAAGACAAUCUAGUAGCCGACACUAGGAAGAUUAGUUGGCCUCACUAUCAUUUGGAGCACCUUCCUUUGAUAGAGUUUGAGCCUUAACCAUAUAGAGAAAGUUGCUUCC
rnacentral:lncRNA from 1 species